UUCAUUGAAAAUGCUCUGUGUCGCUUAGGAAGAACUUACUGAGGCAGCCUGCCAUCUAGCUUUUUCACAGAAAAACAGGCUUACAGACUGCAGAUGAGAGAGUCUGGAGCAGAGACAGUUUUAACUUAGCCAUUCCUAAUUUAUCUCAAGCAUAUUCAAUUCAUCUUCACUGCUCUAUGCACACAGGAACACCAGAUUGUCGUCCCUAGGGAACAGAAUGCAACCGGAGAUCUAGAGAGCUGUCACAUUCCAAGAAAUAUUUAAAUUGUGCUGAUUUUCUUCUGGAGAACUGAGCCCAGGGAAUGAAACUCUCCAUCAAGUCAUAGCUUUGCGGGCAAUAGAUCAGAGGAUAUUGCCAGUUUUCUAAUGGAUUAUUGUUAUCGGGCAGGUUUUCUCUGAAGGUCUCCAUGUCAGUACUGGGGUCCCUAUGGAUGCCACACCUUCCGCUCUUCUAGCUGUUUCGAUUGUUUGCUAUAUAAAAGCUGUUCUGUUGGAUCUCAGUGCUUCUUCAGGAGGAAUCAUUCUACACAUAGGUAUAAAUUCUCUGUGUCCGUAGAGGAGGUGAGUUCAAGAUCUUCCAUCUUGUACUGUGAGCCUGAAAUGCUUGUUUUUAUAUUUUGUAUUCUCUCCCUUAUUUCAGUGUAAGUUCUUUGAGGACAGUGAUUGUUUUUUCUUCUUCUUUAAUGUUCAUAUCUAGAAUAAUGUCUGACCUUUAUAGAUAUAUUAUAUAAUGUUGGAAAUAUGAUAUGUUAUUGGACUUUUUUCUUUACUGUUUUCUGUUUAUUAAUAUAGCAAUCUUUCUGACAUACUAAUAAUCAGUUAAUAACUUAUGUUAUUUACCAGAUAGUCUUCUAAGAAUGUUUACCUUUAAAACACACCUGUUAGUAUAAUUAUGUUUAUUUUACAGAUAAAUGAAUUGGGGAAAGAGAAAUUAAGUAUUGUUUAUAAGUGAUGGAGAAUAAUUUAAUGUAGAACUGAGCAGAGCUGACUCAUUGGAAAAGACCCUGAUACUGGGAGGGAUUGGGGGAAGGAGGAGAAGGGGAUGACAGAGGAUGAGAUGGCUGCAUGGCAUCACUGACUCGAUGGACAUGAGUUUGUGUGAACUCUGGGAGCUGGUGAUGGACAGGGAGGCCUGGCAUGCUGCAACUCAUGUGGUUGCAAAGAGUCGGACACCACUGAGUGACUGAACUGAACUGAAUUGUGAGUCUUAGCCAGUUUAGUAGAUAUCUGUAUAUCUCUCUAUAUAAUCAGGCAUACUGAUUCAAGCAUAGCCUGUACUUUUCAACUUUUAUGUUUUUGCUCACAUAGCUGGAUCCACCUAGAAUCUCAGAUGUUUUUAAAAUCACAUUUCUGCAAAGAUCUUUCUAAGCCCAAGUCAAUAAUACCUCUUUAAUAACCAUGUUAGAGUCUUCUCUGUCACAAAAUUAUCUUCUGUUACUCUGAUACUUGUGUUGCUUCUUUAUUCAUUUAUUUCAAAUAAUCUUUUAAACUGAAUUUCAAAAGCUGUAUCAUGAUUAGCAGGUUUUUUUAACUGUGCUCUAGACCUGUCUCAGAUUCCAUUUUUUGUUGUUGUUUUUCAGUCACUAAGUUGUGACUGACUCUUUGCAACCCCAUGAACUGCAGCAUGCCAGGCUUCCAUAUACUUCACUGUCUCCCAGAGUUUACUCAAACUCAUGUCCAUUGAGUGUAUCAUACUAUCUAAACAUCUCAUCCUCUGCUGCCUUCUUCUUUUGCCUUCAUCAAAAUAUUUUCCAAUGAGUCAGCUCUUUGCAUCAGGUAGCCAAAGCUUGGAGCUUCAGCAUCAGUCCUUCAGUCCUUCCAAUGAAUAUUCAGGGUUGAUCUCCUUGUAGUCCAAGGAACUCUUAAAAUUCUUCUCCAACACCACAAUUUGAAAGUUCUUUUGCACUCAGUGAUUUUUAUGAUCUAACUCUCAUAUCUGUACACAACUACGAGAAAAAGCAUAGAUACCAUAGCUUUGACUAUACAGACCUUUGUCAGCAAAGUGAUGUCUUCACUUUUU
ensembl:lncRNA